rnacentral:tRNA from 1 species
GGGCGGUUAGCUCAGCUGGUAGAGCGCCUGGUUUACACCCAGUAGGUCGGCGGUUCGAACCCGUCACCGCCCA